rnacentral:lncRNA from 1 species
AAUGGUUGUUAUUUUAAGCCACUAAGUUAUGUGGUAAUUUGUUCUGCUGCAAAAGUAUUUGUAGGUUGACUUGGCUCCAAGCAGGAGGAAGAGAGGGGCUGUCAACAUCUUGGUGAGACAAGAGCAGGUUGGAGGCAGUCUCUGCUGACACCCUGGUAACUGAGGUCAGCUGGCCUGGAAAUCCACACUCACCACUGCCAAGUACAGAGGACAACUGAAGAGAUGGCUCUCCCAGCAAAAGGAGGCAGAUCCAGGCCAGUAUAUGCUUAGUCUGUCACAGUGGCAGGUCUGGCACUGGGUUAAGGGAGGAAGAGACUGAGUAUUUGGUAGAAAUUUUUUGAAUAUUUUCAAUGAGUGGAACAAGAUGGGCGAUAAGGGAAGAAUUAAGAGGUAAAUCUCAGAUGGUAGGCCUUCAGGAGAAAGAGUUUGACUACGCAAUUGGCUCAAAUGGAAGAAAAAGAUCUCUGUGAGUGGCAAGAUUUAUAAGGCUACAAACACUGCCAUUCAUGUAACCGGUUGUUUGUACGUAAAUUGGUUUUCUCUUUCUCUAUCUGGAAGCUUUUGGGAUCUUCUCUUUAUCCCUCAGGUUUUGAAAUUUCACAGUGAUGGGGCUUUACAGGGGACGUGUUUUCCAUUCAUUGAGCUGGGCAAUCAGUCCAACCUUUAUUUUGGGAAAUUUUCUUCGAUUGUCACUUUGAUAAAUUUCUGCCCACUACUUUUUCUGUUCUCUAUUCUCUCUCCGGAAUUGCCAUUAUUUAGAUGUUGAGCCUCCUGUAUUUUUCCUUUCUUAUUGUACAUCUCUGCCUUUUUGUUUUACUUUCUUGGUGAUUUCCCUAAUUUUUUUCUGAGUUCUUCUGACUUCCUUUUUUCUUUUAGGGUAUUUUGGGGGUUUUCUUUGUCCUAUUCUUUCAUGUUGGAGGAUUUCCUUGACUUUUGGGUGAUUCCUGGCUGACUAUAUGCUCGGACACGGCUCAUCAACCAGUGGGUUUGACUGAAGGGAGAUGCCAGCUCUUCCACCAGUUGCUGCAAAUGUCAGGAUCUGGAGGUCUUUAUUCUGGAAUGGUUUGUUUUUCUAGGAAAAGAUCUCUAACCUUUCUGUUCCCAGUGUUUUAUAGCAGGGAGUAGAGAAGGUGGGAAAGGGAGGAAGGCUGAGGCUGUUAAUCUUCAAUAUGCCAACUUUUAGUAAUCCUCAUGUUUUGAAAUUUUGAAAACUGCUGGACAUAUGCCAAAAUUUUUACAAACUUCUGUCUUCCUUCCACUUGCUGCCUUCCUCUUCUUGACCAGGUGAUCUUGAGCCCAGAAAGCCCCUGCUUCAGUUUUCUCUCACUGAAGGUUUGAGGAAUGAGUGUGUAGAUGUGGGAUAUGACUGUCUCUUUUACAGACUUUCAAACAAUCCUUCUUUCAGUUGCUUCCCAGCAGGGCCUCUCUCUGCAUGUGCUCUUAUGUCACUGGUCGUUCCUCCUUCUGCUAUCCAUCUUUCUAUACUAUGGUUUAUUGUUUCAGAUGUCUCUUAUUAAGUGACAGCAAAGUUGGAGUCUGUGUUUCUUAUUCUUUCUGUUGCUUUGGGGUGAUUAUUUAGAAGAGAAACAUAUAGAAAUAUCCCACCAUCUUAAAAUUAGAAGUCCUUAACCUCUACUUACGGACCCAUUUACAAUAGUCUAUUUCUUACCCCCAUCCAUGGGAGAGGGAGAAAUUAGCACCCCUACAUUUCCUCUUACUUCUUCUUCCUCCUGCUCCCACUUUCAAUUUCUAUCAGCUAUAUCACCAAUUUAAAUUUUUUAAGGUUUAGAUUUAAACAUACUUUGUCUAUCGGUAGAUUCUGAAAACUGAAAACAGAACACAUCAUUCACAAUACACAAAUACAUGAACAUUAGUCACUGAAGAAUCAAGUAAUGCAAUUUGAUUCAUUGAAAAAGGAAAUACAAUUCCUCUGUCAGUACACUUCUGCAGCUUUCAGGAGAAUGUGAAGGGUCUAGUUUUCUUACACUCUGUGAGCUGCUCAAAACACUACAUUUUAGUUUGACUCAGAUUGGGACCAACACUUUCUUAUAAGCUUUAUGUGUUUCUUAGACCGUCUACAGUUGAGUUUACUGGAGGAGAAGAGGGAGCCUCUAUUCUUUUAAGGUAAUCUUUGCUAGAAUACGGGAAUUAAAAUAUUAAUAACCUUAAAAAGUUCUCAAGAAUUUUCUAUUUGCCUAUCUCGCUUCUUAUUGAAGUUAGAUAACUCUCUGGGUAGAAAUUUGACCUUAUAUUCUCAACCUAAUACCCAUAUCUGUUUUUGACUCUAGGAAAUAUAAACUGUCAAGUUCAGAUCUCCUUAAAACUUCAGGAAGAGUGCUGUAAGGCAGAAUGUCUCUGAGAAUCAAUCUCUUUUUUGAUAUUAAGCAUGCAAAAUAUUGAAAAACAUAAAAGGGAUAGUGUUAGGACAAGCUCCAGGAAUGUAUUUUUCUGUGGGCAUAUCUCUUGUACAUAUAUCACAGAAAUUGCCCUAAGACAUUGUCAGUAACUUUUUAAUGUCAACUCAAUUGGUACUAAUCUUUAGAGAAGUUUAACUAGAAGGCUUAAGUAACGCUUCAACUGUUAUUGUGAUUAAGGGGCAGGGGGGAAAAUAUAUAUAGUAGGCUCUAUAUAUAUAUAUAUAUAUAGCCUAUGAUAUACCAUGCACCGUCCUGGCUUUUAUAUGUGAAUAUUAUUUAAUAUAACAUAUAUUAUUACAUAUUAUUAAUUAUAUUACAUUGAUUAAUAUAUUAUUAUACAAUAUAAUUAUUAUAUAUAACAUAUAUAUAUUUAUUACACAAUAUAUUUCUUUAAGGCCAGAAGAGUUUAUCCACCUUGCCUAGGAGUUGAGAUUGACUUCUCUGCUUCCCUCUGUAGUGAUCAUGACAUCUGACCCUCAUCCUGGUAUGAGCCACAUUAUGAACCCUGCUGCCCAUCAUGUCGCCCCACAGCCUCCUGCUGCUGUUAGCAUUGAUUCUUCCUUCCAUCUUCUCUCUCAGCUUGGAUUUUUAGACCCUGAAAUCUGCCUUAAUUCAUCUCUCUUGAAAACUUCUGUUGCUGCUCUUGGAUCUGGUAAUAUUUUUUGUCAGCUUUCCUCUUGAAUAAGUGAAUGUUUUCUAAGGAGUCCAAAUUCCUCUGACUUGAAUCUCAGAAUAUCAGAGCCAGAAGGAACCUCAAAGUCAGCUGGACCAAUGGUUCCAGCCUGCGGCAUUUGGAUUCUCAGAGACUUUGGAGUUAUUGUGAGUCUUAGAACACAUAUACACUUAUAGUUCUUUCUUUUCCUUCACUGGGCAGCAAAAUUGACAUGAUUAGUAUGUGGUAUCCAUAACUUUUUGAACUUAAGAAGAGUUUUCAUGCUCUAAAAAUCUGAGAACCACUGAUUCACACCAGCUGCCUCAUUUUACAAAUGAAAAAAUGAAGCCCAGAAAAUGAUUUGAUUUUCCCAAGGUCGUAGAGUAAAUUAAGAUCAGGUCAGGACCUGGGUAUAAUCUUUGGAUUGUCAACCAUCAACCCAUUGCUCUUUCCAGUAUCCCAGCCCCCAAAAUAUCAUAGUCCUCACAAUUACAUAGCAGCUCCCGCAGACACUACUGCAAAGGGGAUUAAAGGAUCCCCAACUGGCUCAGGCUGAAAGUGAGGGAGUGACUUCUCCCUCUACAGCAAACGUUAAGCUUUUUUGAAAAGUAUUGCCAGGAUAUAAUAAACAAAUAAAUGUCCCUAGAGAGUGCACUAAUAAUUAGAUAAAGUUGCCCCAUCUUUUUUCAGACAAUUGUAACUUGCCCACUGCCCCUGGCAUGGGUGAGUGAGGAGUCCUAGAUCCCAGAAGGUCACUAAUUAAGUUCAGGGAAGCAUCCCACCUAUAGGCUUUCCCGAAGUCUACGGCAUAGCUCUGGAAGGGAGUGUCAGGACCAAAUUUCUUGCUCAGGGAUUUUGAAAUUAGAACCCUGAGAGACGGGGUCAGCUGGAGGAGGAGGCUGGGCAGGACAAUAAUGAUGAAAUGUUGGGUCUAGUGGACAUUUAGAGCCACAAGCCCAUAGAGAAAAAGAAGAAGAAUGAGAUGGGGUGAGGGAGAGCGAGUGUGCACGUGAGGGGCCACGUGGCUACAGAGAGAAAGGGACACAGAGAAAGAGAAGGAAAGAGGAAGACCUGGAGAGAGCUCCUUAGAUUGAACCUUUCUAGUUCCCAGUUCCUGUCACAGAAGGCCCAGAUUCCCUAGGAUUCCAGAAGCUCUGGAUCUUAAAAUAAGUUCUUUUGGGGCCGGCCCGGUGGCGCAGAGGUUAAGUGCGCACAUUCAGCUUCGGUGGCCCCAGGUUCACUGGUUCAGAUCCCGGCUGCGGACAUGGCACCGCUUGGCAAGCCAUGCUGUGGUAGGCGUCCCACAUAUAAAGUAGAGGGAGAUGGGCAUGGAUGUUAGCUCGGGGCCAGUCUUCCUCAAAAAAAUAUAUAAAUAAAUAAAAUAAGUUCUUUCUACUUAGGCUGAUUUGAGUAAGAUUUGCUCGCUGAAUGAACAGCCAGCUCCGGAGGAAUAAAUUCAGAUCUCAUGCAUAAACUCAGAGUUCUCACAGCCCAAGAUUCGAUGGUGACCCAAGACUCCCUCACAGCUGAGGCUGCCUCAUCGAGAAAAUGAAGGACGAGAGCACUUCAGCUGCCACCAGCACAGCCCCAACACUCUGCAGUGCUGAUGACGGGCACUGGUUGAGCAACCGAAAUCAUCCAUUACAAAGGUCUCAGGACACAGCUGUGACAUGCGACUCCACAGAGACCUCAUGUUAAUCCCGGAUAUUUCUGAAUUUCAUUCCUGUUCAGAAGGAGCCUGUCUCUAAGUACUUGAGAAUAGGAAAGAAGCUUCUAUGUCAUCACUCUGGCAUCUUUCAUUUCAGUAAAAAAAAGAAAAUUGAUUUUGAGAUUUCUGUUCUAUAUGGCACUUAAUGUGAAAUAUCUAGUUCUAAAGUGAUUUAGAAAAAGAAAAAAGUGCACUGUGGUGUUAAAAUCUAUUUAUCUUCUUUUAUUCUCAAGGGCAAGAAAUGAAAAUAAUAACAGAUAACAGUAGAUUUUCAGUGUGGUGACAGAAAGAGGUUAUCAGGAAAAUCCCAGGGUGAAAAUAAAGUAGAAAAGCAAGAAUACAGUUUGAGAAAGAUGUGGAAGAAAGAUAUGAAGCUAGAAAGGAAAAUAAGAGAUUGUCAGUGACAGCCAAGAUUCUUAAAAGAUAGAAGAGUUCUUACUGAUUCAUCUGUAAGUAGAGGUAACAGAGGAAAAAAAAAACAAGAGAUGAACACCAUGAUGCUAGGAUCGGAAAUCUCAGGGGUAUGGUGUUGUCGUUAAAUUCUGCCUUUGGCUAAAAAAAAAAAAUCAGAAAAAGAGAUUUAGGGAAAUACGCAUGGGAAAUUGUGUGAAAUGAGUUGUUGAUAAAGUAAAAGAAAGUAUACAAGAAACACGGAAAUAUCUUUAAGCCGCUGCCUCUCCAACAUCCAUUCUAAGUUGUUAAGAGAAUGAGUUAAUGGAUUUAGAGAAGUUCUGAUCAUUAUAUUCGGGGGGCACUUUGGAUGCAGUAUUUCAGAAAGCUGUCAAAAUAAGUACAUCUCUUCAAGAUAUUAGAGGAAAAAACAAGAAAAAACAAGCACACAUGGACCUAAUUUUCUUCUUUUUUGCUCUCCUUCCUAAGAAAGGCCUUCCUGGAGGGUGUUGUGCUGAGUGAAAUAAGCCACAGAGGCAUAUUCAUGAUGACAGUUUAAAAAUCUUUGUCGGGUCAUUCCGACAUCUCUGUCAUCUUGGUGCUGGUAUCUGUUGAUUGUCUGUUUUCACUUAGUUUAUCUUCCUUGUUCUUGAUGUAAUGAGCAAUUAUUUUUUUACUGAAUUCUGGGCAUCUGGGGCAUUAUGUUGUGAGACUCUGGGUCUUAUUUAAGCCCUCAUUUUUUCUGGUUUCCUCUGACAUUACUUGAGCAGGGGAAGAAGAGGGGACCCGCCACCACUGCCAGGUGAGAGUAAGUUUCCACUUGCCCUUUGUUGACAUAGAGGUGGGGUUCCUCUUUACUGCUUGAUGUGGGUGGGAGUUCUGGCUCCCUACUAGGUCUCUGCUGAUACCUACCUGGCUGGGCAGCAUCCAGAUGCCUCACUACUCUCCUCACAUGGCCUCCGCUGACAUCAUGGUGGGGCUGUGCGGGGACCUCCGUGCUGCUGGGCAGUGGUGAAAGUUCUGACUGUCCAUUAGGCUUCUUUAGACACCAUCCCAGUGAGGAUGGGGAGGGCGCCUGACUGCCGCCAAAUGGAGAUGGAAGUCCAGGCUCCCAGUUGAUCUCCACUGACAGCAUGAGGAGGCCUCAUUAGCUCCAGGGGAUGAAAGUCCUGGCUCUCUACUCAGCCCUUUCUGACAACACCCUGGCAGAGAGGUUUGGGCUCCUUGUUAAAACUCCACAGAAAUGGAAGUCCAGGCUCCCCACUCAGCCUUACUGGAAUGGGUGGGAGAGGGGUCAUAGAUUUUUCUGUAGUGUUUGGCUGGAGUAGACCAGUUAUUAUCUAAAUGUUUCCUAUCUUGCGAGGUUGCUCCUUUUCCUAGAGAGAGUGGGCUUCUGUUGGGGCUUUUUCUUUCUAGAGUCAUUGGCAUUUCCAGGCUGCCAGCUCCUUCAGCUCCAAGUCUGGGAAAUAUAAGGCAAAAAAGAAGACCCAGGGAACUCACCACCAUACUGUUCCUUGGAUUCCGAGGUCCCUAGUUGGUCUGCCUUCUUCUCUCCACAUUUCAGAGUCUUCUUGUGUUUGUUUCUGUGGACUGUCCAGGGUUUUCAGUUGUCUUUAGCAGGAGGACCAGGAAAAGGUACAGCUGUUCCACUUCCCACAUAUGGAAUCUUUCCAGAUCAUUCACAUACAGAUAACAACAGUACCUGCCUCCUAGAGACCUCAAAGGGUUAUUGUGAGGAUUAAAUGAGUUAAUUGGACCUUUGGAGCAGUGGCUGGCACAUGGUAAGCCUUAUAUAAGUGUUAUCUCUUCUUGUUAUUAGAUAAACAGUAUAAUGGGGUUGUUAAGGGAACAGAGUCUGGGCCCAGACUACCAGGAUUUAAAUCCUAGCUCUUACCCUUAAUAGAUGUGUUAGUCUUUGGGAAAUUAACUGAAUCUCUCUGUGUCUAAACAUUCCCACUGUAAAUGGCAAUAAUAAUAGUUUCUUCUUCACAAAGUUAUUGUGUGAACUGAAAGAGUUAAUAUAUCUCUAAAGCUCUUAGAUGAUUGCCUUGCACAAAGUGAGCUCUAUUUAAGUAUUAGAUAUUAUUCUUUUAAGCUAAAGUACUUCAUUUUCUCCUCAAAGCACCCUCUAAAAUAAGUGGUAAAGCAUCACUAUCUCCAUGUAUAAAUGAAGAAACAGAAGAGGUUCUGAGGCAUGCAAUGACCUGCCCGAGGUCACAGAGCCAGUAUGUGGCAGAGCCAGCUUGAGCCACAGAUCCUCUGACUGCAAGUCUAGGGCUCACGGCAUCAUGUAAGCCCUGAAUUGAGGCUUGGUUAGGAGUGCAAGAUGAAAACCAGGAUUCAUGCUUAGAGAACAGGGCAAGCAGACAGCUGCCGAAAUCACACGUGGGUGGGCAAGGCAGCAUGAAGAUAGGAACAAAGUGGAAAGAAGGCCAGGCGGGAGUCUGGUUGUUGGGCUAAGUCCAUAUCAGGAAAUUGGUGUUGAAGAGACCACCAAGAUGAUUUCCAGUGAGAGAUUUCUACCCCUCCAGAAGGUGUGCCAUCAACGUCUCCUGUUCACAGGGCAGUGACGGGUUUCCUUAGAGCUCAGCACUCCCACUCCAAGGCAGCUUAUGCUCUUCAGAGAGACUCCAGCUCCAAGAAAGCAGGGGCUGUGCCUUCUUCAGUUCCGAAGCUCCUCAAGUCUGACUCGUGAAAUGGGGUCCUUCCUCAAGGGAUUCCCGCUGCCGCCCCUGCCCAGCCUGCCGUCUACAUACUUCGGAGCCUGUCCAAGUCCAGCUUGUGCCUCAGGGCUCAUACCGAGUGCCACCAAGCCUUCCUGGAGACACCAGCCCACACUGAGCUCGCCCCUUCCUAAACCCUUAGCGUUAACUAUCUCUGCCAUAUGUUUUGGAAUGUGUUUAUUUAAGCAUCAUAUAAUAUCUAGUCCUAUAUUUUUCCUGAUAUUUCAUAUGUCCAAGUCUUGUGUAACCAGCAAGACCAUGGGUCUUGGGGGCAGUGGUUGCAUCAUACAAGUUUUGAUGAGGUUUGGCCUCCCAGCAUUUGACAUGGAACACAGUACUGGGUAGUGAGUCAAUUAAUACUUGUUAACUCUGAAAGCAAAGGUCUCAGACAAGCAGAGGUGCCCCCAUGUGGAGUACAUGGAGCCCCAGGCAAAAUUCUCUUUUUGCAAGGCCCUAACUAAACACUUUGAUUAAAAAAUGUUUUACAAAAUGUGUGGGCCCCUGGAAAGUAUAGUGAUUUAUUGCUGAAGGUGUAGAAUAAUGUGUAGGAAGAGCUGGAAGAGGUACUUUGAUAUGUAUUUAUUGUCCAAUCAGGGCAGAUGUCCAGAGACCAUCUUUUCUGUUUGGGUCCAGGAAUCAUCUCUUCAUGUUCUUUAUUGUCAAAUGUGCCAUUCCUGGAGAAUUUCACAUCUUCCACCUCCAAAAACAGGGUGCAAUGCUGUCAUUACUCACAAUGUCAGGACUUUUUGGAGCUUGCUUAUAUUGCAACUAUACAGAUCUCAUCUCUGCACGUAUUUAAUGUUACUUAUACCAUGUAUGCAUAACAGUGGGUCAUCCAUUGUGCGGCCUGUGAGUACUGCUUUCCAACGACCCUGUCAAAGGUAGCUGCUGUGGUUCAUUGAUAAUGACUAUAAAUGCAAGUCUCAUCCAGAGAAUGCUGGAAAAUGUGAACAAUAAUCCAUUUUGCGGUCAUAUAAAGUCUACAGUUUGGAAUUUUAUAACAUAAAGAUAGAACACCGUGUCUUCCAACUCUGUCUUCUCUUGAACUCUUCAGGCGGAAGUCACUGCAUCCUUAGAAGGUGAUUUCUUUCCCUGUUGACCACACCCCUGCCUUCCAUACAUCCCACCAGCCAGGAGGGUAGGCGAGGGGCCUGUGGGCAGAGUAAGUAAAGCAGUCACAUUCUGCAAGAAAUGUUCGUCCCUCGCCCCAGGAGAGCAUGAGGCCACCAAAUCCACUGGAGGCAAAAGAGGACCCUGAGCAGAAGGGCCCAUCUGCAUUCUAAAGCAAUGGUCUAGAAAGCCCUUGGAGGAGAUAGGCUUGGCCACCUCAGAGGACUGCCCGACAUGGGUAGGGAAAGGAACUUAUGGAGGGGUGGGGUAACCCUGUGUGCCAGCAGUAGAGUACACAGGUAAAGGACACCUGCAGCCUCCCUCCUGCCCUUGGGUGUUGUGGCCCUAGGAGGCCACGGAUGGAACGGGCAGGCAAGAGCCGAUGCUGAAGAGCUCAAGUCCAAAGCUGGGUGGGAUUGGUCCUGGUAACCCUGAGUCCUGAACGUCUCCUGUGACCACCAUGAGUGAGUCACCUCAAAUCAGAGUGUCAGCACAUUUUGGGGGGCUCAAUCUCAUGAGAGAAAUACUGCAACAGCCAGCGGAAAUGACCAGCUCAUGAGCCCACCCUCCUGGAAGCCCCAUAGGUGGGGAUUAUGAUCCCAGGAGCAUGAGUCUCGGAGUUCCUUGGGGCAGGUGGUGACCCCACACACAGGAUCAAGGGUCAAAGAGUGUCCUGAAGGAUGGAAAUAAGGACCAAACUCCCAGGAAUCCAUCCAGGUUUGGGGUGUCCCACCCAGGUGGCAUUGCCAGGCACCCCAGGGAACUUCAAAAAUUUUGAAGAAAGCACUGGGCCCAGGGCAGCAGCCUACUGUCCCAGGUCUAAGGCUGUUACUGCAGCCAAGCCUUUCUGCGCUCCUGGUAAUCCCCAAGACCAGACCAGCCCGUGUGGCUAUGGGGAUUGCCAAUGUGCUGGGCUACCAUGUAGGGAGCAUCGGGCAUUUUCAGGAAUUUGUACUCUGGUCUCAUUUCGGCACAAAGUGCUGGUGCCCUUUUUUCUUUUGGGGGCCUCACUACAUUGAGUACAUUCUCUCAGAUAAAUUUCUGGUCUCACCUUGUUAAUUCUUUGAAAAGAACAAUUAUGAACUGACUCACAGGACAGUAUUCCUGUUUUUUCUCGUGUUAAUAAGUAUCAGAUGGCAGUGAAUUUUUCUAUCUUUCCUGUGGCAGCUUCCCAUUACACCUGUGCAGCUUCCCAUUACACCUGUGACAGCUUCCCAUUACACCUGGCAUUUUGAGCCACACACAUGUGCAGGAUUUUGCAAAAUCUGAGUAGAGAAGAGGCUAGAAGAUGAGGUGAGAGAGACGUUUUAUGAAAAUAAAAAUUCAUAAAAAUAUCACCAAAAAUAUCCCACUAAAUUAUAUCACUGAUAGCAUCCGUUAAAAUAUCUCAUUAAAAAUAUCAUUGAUCAGAUCCAUUAUUUUGUUAUUUAAAAAGUUGUUAAAUCUUUGGUCAGCAGUUACUCUGUGUCACCAUCACAUUCGUUGCUCAGAUUUCUUAGUUCCUCUCAAAGGAAUGUUACCAAAUAUGUGAAUUUCUGGCUACCGUGAAAUCAGAUAAAGCGAUGGGUAUUUUGAUAAGUAUAGAACAUGGAAUUCGUUUGUAGCUUAAAACAAUCUCUCAAGGCGUUGGUUGGCCACUAAGUAGCAUGUAUUCAUAUUUGCCUUUGUUUCCUUUCUAAUAGUGCUGGGGCUUCUGCCACUUUAGAAAACAGAAUUUCUAACUCUCAUGGCAGUUCAGGCACAGUUUCUAAUAAUCUAACCUCACGAUACACACAAAUGACUUAUAUUAAUGCCAUAGAAAUAAACUAUUAUAUUCUAGUGCUUAUGUGAGCCCCAAGCUGUGCUAGGUAGUUCUCUCCUAUUAUUGUGUUUAAUGGAUUGAGCAACUAACAUUUAUUCAAUGUUUGGCAUUUCUUUUAAAUGCCGUCUAGCAUAGUACAAUGGUUCCUGAAUGUCAGUGGAUAUAGGAAUCAUCAGGAAAGGACUUAUUAAAACACAGGUUCCUGGGGAUCGUCCCCGUGGCCAAGUGGUUAAGUUCUCGCGCUCCGCUUCAGUGGCCCAGAGUCUCGCUGGUUCGGAUCCUGGGCGUGGACAUGGCAUCGCUCGUCAGGCCACGCUGAGGCGGCGUCCCAGAUACAUAGCACAGUCAGAGGCGCUCACAACUAGAAUAUACAACUAUGUACUGGGGGGAUUUGGGGAGAAAAAGCAGAAAAAGAAAAAAGAGAAGAUUGGUGCCAAUCUUGAAAAAAAAAAGAAAUUUAAAACACAGCUUCCUGGAUCCCAUCCCCAGGGUUUCUGAUUCAGCAGGUAGGGGGUGAAGCUUGAGAAUCUGCAUUCCUAACAUGUUCCCAGGUUAUGCUGGUGCUGCCGGUCCAGGGACCACACUGUGAGAAUCACUGGCAUAGGAGUUAAAAGCAGUGACUUUGCUAUCAGACUGAUCUGGUUUUGAGUCUUUUGGUUUAACUUUCCUCAUCUAUAAAAUUAUACCUCCAUCAUUAGGUUAUUUUGGAGAUUAAAUAUGAUAUAUGUGAAGUGCUUAACAUGGUAUCUUGCAUGCGUUAUAACUCAGUAAAUGUUAACUGCCACCAUAGUAGCAUUUGCUACAGUACUACUCUUACUACUAAGUAAACUUAGAAAAUGACUUUGAUUUCAAAAUCAGUUUUAGAUUGUCAGUGCUCUCUCUUCUCUUUACCUAGAGCUGAGCUCCAAUGUCUCGCAUGCUAUGACAUCAUAAUGAGAUUGAUAACCAAGACUCUGAGGAAUGGCAUAUUGGAUUUUUCAUAUUAUCAUAGAGAUUCUCCAUCAUAACUAAGAAAAAUAUAUAAAACAAAUGCCAUUUUUUAAUAACCCUGAAAAAACCUCUAGGAAAAAGAGCUGCAAUUAAGUUAGUCUAUUAGCUUUACCAAACCUUAUUGAAUAUGUUAUUAUUAGCUGUCUAAAAUGAUACAUCUAUUUGUGGUUAAACACACACAAGUAAAAAGCCAAGAACCUUCAUGAAAGGUUGCUUAAUCUUGAUCAAUACUUUAGAAGAGUCAGCAUAUACUUUGGCCACAGAAAAUUCUAGUAACUUAUUCGUAACUUAUGUGAAAUUAUCCUGCUACUAAUCUGCACAAUUCUAGAGUCCCAGAAAUGGUAGAAUAUAUAAGUUUUGAUGAAUAAAUGAAGAGCAAUAGGAUAUACUGGAGUAUAUGAGGAAGCCAUAUGGUUUAAAAUUAAUUCAGCCUGAACUUGUUAUUCCAGAAAGCCCUGAUGUGGCCUCUUGAACAUGCAUUGUACAUCUGCUUUAAGCAUUUACAAUGUCCCAAAGACAAGAAUUAUGCCCUUAAAGGUAGAGAUUCAGCUUCCCCCUAGAUUAGCAUUUCUUUAAGAAUAAGUAUCUCUUCCUGGAAACUAAGGAUUAAUUACAGAUCUGCUGUUCUCACCUUGUGACCACUGACCUGCUAUGCUAGCUAAGCAUCUAGUGACAGUAGUAAAAGAGAUAUUCCUGGCAUAUGUGAUGUACGUUCUUUGUUCCAAGAUAGUAUAUAACCACUCUGUACACUCCACUUCUCUGGUGUAUGUCUUUCCUUGGGGAAGGAAGCCCCCAAGCUAUAGUCCUCAGACCUGGCUCAUGAUAAACUCACCCAAUUUUGAUUUAUAGAUUGAUUAUGGAUUAUUUGCAUCAACAUUUGGAAACAUAUUCAUCAUCCAUUAAUCAAAUUCUGACCCAGGAUUCCCAUCAGCUAUAUGAUUCUGGGUACCGAGAGGCUCAUCCUGGGCUCUUUCCGUCACCUGCAUCUACAUUCUUUUCUAUUUUUAUGGAGAGCCACUAAGAAAUACAACAGAUAAGCUAACAUCAAAGAUUUCAUCCAAAUUAUCUAAAAUAAGUAUGGCAACAUUCACAUUAAAGAAAUGUCAUAUUCUGUGUUGGUUUUGAGUGCUCUGAUAUUCACAGUGAGAUAAAAAAUUAAUAAAUGUCACUUGGCUUCUUUGGUAUUAUGGUCUCUUGGGCAUAUAAGUAGAAGCAACAUUUAUUAUCUAAUACUGUCGCCCAGGAUGGGCAAACCACAGCCCUCUCCCCUGGCUCCCCAUUUUGUAAAUAAAGUUUUAUUGACACACAGCCACAUUCGUUCUUUUACCUAUUGUCUAAGGCUGCUUUCACACUACAGUGGCAGUGUUGAAUAGCUGCAACAGAGACCCUGUGACCUGCAAAGUUUGACAUAUUUACCCUUUGGUCCUUUACAGAAAGGCAGUUGACCUCUGCUGCAGACGGUUAGUUGGGAUGCUUCCGAAAGAAAUGUACCAAGAAGAAAAUGUAAUCUCCUUCCUUAAAAUACCUACCCAAAGAGAUCAUUUGUCUUCAAUAAAAUAGUUUCCUAGUAGAGUAAUAAUAAGUUAGGCUUAUGAUUGGUUUCCCAUUAACCUCAGAUUGCAAAUGUUCACUAGCCCUUUCAAAUGCUUAGUAUCCUUACAGUGACGUAUCUGCCAGCCGUGGACGACAUUCUACUCUGGGUCGGAAACUGUCCUCAGAUUUGAAUUAUUCUUGCUUAAUUUAAAGAGCCAGAUCUAGUUUUAUUAAAGUUAAUGAAGGCCCAGAACCUCAUUAAUGGCUAAAUGACUUCUCUCUCUGAGCCAUGUGAUUAUUUCAGAAUUAGUAGUUCACUUAAAAACAAAUAUCCCUAUUUUAUUUUAUUAGAACAGAGCAUUGGUCUGUGUUUAAAAGUAGAUUUCUAUUUUUCUGACAAAUGUCUUUCCAAGUAUGUGAGGUACAAUUUCUAUGACUUUUCCUGAAAAAAAUUGACGUAUUUGUUGAGUGAAUGUUGAAUAAACAAAGAGUAUAUAUCAGAGUGGGAAGAACAUGCCCUUUGGGGUCAGAGAAACUGGGUUCAUCUCUUAGAGUUUCCUCCUCCUGCUAGUGUGUGACAACCCUCUGACCCUCAGUUUCCUAUCCUUAAAAUAGAGGCAACCCCUAUAUGAUACAUAUAUAGGAUUGUGGGAAGGAUUUUAAAUAAUGCAUGUGAAAUGACUAGUUAGAGCCAGGCACAUAGCAGGUUUACAGGUGGUAACUUAUUGAGUGGUAGUUAAGUGAGUGCUAUGGUCUGAAUGUUUGUGCCUCCCAUCCCCCAAAUUCAGGUUGAAAUCCUAAUGUCCUAUGUGAUAGUAUUGGAAGGUGGGGCCCUUGGGAGGUGCUUAGGUCAUGAGAGUGGAACCCUCAUCAAUGGGAUUAAUGCUCUUAUAAAAGAGACCCCACAGAGCCCUGUAGCCCCUUAUCCUAUGUGAGGACAUAGGGGGAAGUCAAUAACCCAAAAAAGUGCCCUCACUUGACCGUGCUGGCACCCGACAUCAGACUUCCGUCCUCCAGGACUGUGAGAAAUAAAUUUCUGUUGUGUAUAAGACACCAGUCUGUGGUGUUUUGUUCCAACAGCUCAAAUGAACUAAGACAAGGGGCAUAGUUGUUUUUGUUUUCUGAUUUCUUCUUCACUUAAUUAGGUUUUCCUAGAGGUGAACUAGAUGCCUAAAAGUAGUGAUGCUUAAAUUUAUUUUAAUAAAUUUAGGAAGCUAGCUCAAAUGAGAAAGCUGCUGUGGAGACAAGGGAACCAGGCAGGCUCCAGCACGCCCAGGGCCACCCCUGGUGUCCAGGGCGCCCCUUAACCCCUCCCCCACCCCCGCAGUGCUUCACUCGUGCUUGCUCUGGGCGCGCAACAGCGGGGAAUCAGCAUUUAGAUGAUUCUCUGGAAGUCUUCCAUCCCAACAGGAAAGACGAUAAUCAUCCUUGCAAAGAGGAUGCACGGCUGGUGAUGCCUUCGCUCCUUUGUGGGGAGCGAUGCCCAGGAAAGCUCUGACCGCGGCUGAGAGAUCUGAACUGCAGUUCCAGCUCUGCACACCAGCCGUGGGACCUCGGACGAGGCCUGCAGCGGCUCAGAGCCCCAGCGCCCCUUUCCAUGCGAAAGCAGGUCUCCGUGCUCCUUCCAGAUCUCUACAGACUUCUUCACCUGAGAGACGUCGCACAUGCAUGGACUUUAAUGGAACAGAUUGUAAGCGGCUUGGAUCCUGCCAACUGUGCUUUCCAGGCCCCCUUGUGUGGCACUCCAUUGGAUUCAGGCAAUGGGUGGCACUAAGGGGCACCCAGAAGAUAAGAAGAUGGGAGAAGUGAUUCUCUUCUCUUCUUGAGUGUCAGUUUGGGAUGAAAGUGGCAGUAGCAAUAGUGGCAGCAGUUACAGCAGCAGUGUCAACAGCACAGGUGAUGGGCAAGGUGGCUGCAGCCGCAGAAGUGGCCUAACAGGGCCCAGCAGGGCCAGCUCUGGAGUGUCUGUUCCUGCCUCCUGAGUCACAGUGGCACUGGUUCAGGGAGAAAUUGGUUUCCUGUGGUCACUCAUCUUUCAGUAACCUAAUUCUUUUUUGUUGCUCCUCCAGCCUUCCAACAUCCUUGUAAUCAAUUUUUAUAUUAAGUUCCCUCUGUUUGAAAUAGCUAAAUGGUUUCUCUUUUCCUAAAUGGACCCUGCCUAAUACUAUAUAUAAUUUUUCAGAGCUUGAAUUCUUAAACUAAUUUAAAGCUGCUCUAUGAUCUUUAUUUUGAAACCUGGAGCUUUAAAAGUCUGGAUACACCAGCUGCUCAUUUUACAGAAUCAAGUCAACAGAAUGCAAGAAACAAAAGUGUUCUUGUCGAAUUCCAGUAAACUUCAAGAAAGGAUCUAAAUCAUUUAAUGCAUU